AACUGAGUAAAGAUGUGCAAGUUAGACUCCUUUUUCGCCCCUCAGAUGGCCACCUCCAACCGCAGGCACGUGGGCUUCUGAACCUCUUUAUCAGGAAACAAGUCCCAAGGAGACCAGAGGGUGUAACUCAGAAGACAACAUCCAGGGAGACUCGGGCUUCUCCUGGGGCUCCCCCUCUCUCUCAGGGUGAGUAGAAAGGUGGGUUGCAGAAUCUCCCCAACCAGGCUGCAGUCAGGUCUGGGAGCAAGGGGAUAAAAACAACCUCAUGGGGUGGAGGGGGUGCCCCCAAACUGCUGGGGACAUUGGAUAGGAUUUUGAGCACUUAAACUGGAGGUGGCUCAGUGGCGGUAUGCUUGCCUAGCAAAUGUGAGGC
rnacentral:lncRNA from 1 species